GACGAACGCUGGCGGCGCGCUUAACACAUGCAAGUCGAACGGAAAGGCCUGCUUUCCCUUGUGGAUUGCGGGUACUCGAGUGGCGAACGGGUGAGUAACACGUGAGUGAUCUGCCCCCAACUUGGGUAUAAGCCUGGGAAACUGGGUCUAAUUCCCGAUAGGACUGCAGGGUGGUGCCUGUGGUGGAAAACGAUUUUCUAGUGGUUGGGGAUGAGCUCGCGGCCUAUCAGCUUGUUGGUGGGGUAAUGGCCUACCAAGGCGGCGACGGGUAGCCGGCCUGAGAGGGGGGACGGCCGCAUUGGGACUGAGAUACGGCCCAGACUCCUACGGGAGGCAGCAGUGGGGAAUAUUGCACAAUGGGCGGAAGCCUGAUGCAGCGACGCCGCGUGGGGGAUGACGGCCUUCGGGUUGUAAACUCCUUUCGACCGCGAGGAAGCCACCUGGUUGGAAGGGUGGUGACGGUAGUGGUAGAAGAAGCACCGGCUAACUACGUG
rnacentral:rRNA from 1 species